rnacentral:rRNA from 1 species
UACAGAGGGGGCAAGCGUUGUUCGGAAUUACUGGGCGUAAAGGGCGCGUAGGCGGCCUUCUAAGUCGAACGUGAAAUCCCUGGGCUCAACCCAGGAACUGCGUCCGAUACUGGAAGGCUUGAAUCCGGGAGAGGGAUGCGGAAUUCCAGGUGUAGCGGUGAAAUGCGUAGAUAUCUGGAGGAACACCGGUGGCGAAGGCGGCAUCCUGGACCGGCAUUGACGCUGAGGCGCGAAAGCGUGGGGAGCAAACAGG